AACGAACGCUGGCGGCAGGCCUAACACAUGCAAGUCGAACGCCCUAGCAAUAGGGAGUGGCAGACGGGUGAGUAACACGUGGGAACCUUCCCUAUACUACGGAAUAGCCCAGGGAAACUUGGAGUAAUACCGUAUACGCCCGAGAGGGGAAAGAUUUAUCGGUAUAGGAUGGGCCCGCGUCGGAUUAGCUAGUUGGUGAGGUAAUGGCUCACCAAGGCGACGAUCCGUAGCUGGUUUGAGAGAACGACCAGCCACACUGGGACUGAGACACGGCCCAGACUCCUACGGGAGGCAGCAGUGGGGAAUAUUGGACAAUGGGCGCAAGCCUGAUCCAGCCAUGCCGCGUGAGUGAUGGAGGCCUUAGGGUUGUAAAGCUCUUUUGCCGGGGACGAUAAUGACGGUACCCGGAGAAUAAGUCCCGGCUAACUUCGUGCCAGCAGCCGCAGUAA
rnacentral:rRNA from 1 species